GCGCCCAUAGCUCAGCUGGAUAGAGCGCACCCCUCCUAAGGGUGAGGCCGGUGGUUCGAAUCCACCUGGGCGCG
rnacentral:tRNA from 1 species